rnacentral:rRNA from 1 species
UACGAAGGGUGCAAGCGUUACUCGGAAUUACUGGGCGUAAAGCGUGCGUAGGUGGUUCGUUAAGUCUGUCGUGAAAGCCCCGGGCUCAACCUGGGAAUGGCGAUGGAUACUGGCGGGCUAGAGUGCGGUAGAGGAGAGUGGAAUUCCCGGUGUAGCAGUGAAAUGCGUAGAGAUCGGGAGGAACAUCAGUUGCGAAGGCGGCUCGUCUGGACCAGCACUGACACUGAGGCACGAAAGCGUGGGGGAGCGAACAGG